AUUGAACGCUGGCGGCAGGCCUAACACAUGCAAGUCGAGCGGAGCGGCGGACGGGUGAGUAAUGCCUAGGAAUUUGCCUGGUAGUGGGGGAUAACGUCCGGAAACGGGCGCUAAUACCGCAUACUAUCAGAUGAGCCUAGGUCGGAUUAGCUAGUUGGUGGGGUAAAGGCCUACCAGGGCGACGAUCCGUAACUGGUCUGAGAGGAUAAUCAGUCACACUGAAACGGAAACACGGUCCAGACUCCUACGGGAGGCAGCGGUGGGGAAUAUUGGAAAAUGGGCGAAGGCCGGAGCCAGCCAUGCCGGGUGUGUGAAGAGGGUCUUCGGAUUGUAAAGCACUUUAAGUUGGGAGGCGUUACCAACAAAAUAAGCACCGGCUAACUUCGUGCCAGCAGCCGCGUAAUAC
rnacentral:rRNA from 1 species